CCGGCCGCCUCGGCUCUGCGCCAUUUGCACACCCUGGGAACCUCUCCCAUAGCCGCUCGGCCCGAUCUGCUGUGUAUCGGCGGUAGCAGCGGCGGCGCUUCCUCUCCCCCGUCCCAGCCACCCCUCCCCGGCGAGCUUGUGCUCUUCUCUCGGCGUCGCCGGCGUGCUCGCCCUCCACUGGGUCUCUGGUCUGUGGGUGACAUGCGGCGGCCUUGGCCUUGGACCCGGGCACUAUGACAUUGUCAAGCAGUCUUGAAAUCGGCUUCACUGCCUCAGGGUUGAAGAACAUUGCUGAUCUGAUGAGGCAUUCACACAGUGGCACAGAGGAUGUGAUGUGAGGAAAAACGACGAAUUACGAUAUCCCUCCCAGUGCGUGAAUAUGAUCAACUCAAGAAGCUUUGAACCUCCUUCUCAUCUGGUGAGAACCAUCCCCCGAUUUCACUAUGCAAAGACAAAAUAUUCAGCAUCAGUUCUGUAUUGCUCUGAACAAAUAUUUGCCAGACUCUGCGAGUUCCUCAGGAAGAUCCUCUCCUGCCGAGCAUUAUUCCGUGCCAUCUCAUCCUCCUAAUGCAUGUGUUAACAAGGGUCGGUAUUCAACCGUUCGUGGAUGAAGUACUCCAGCGCUGCUGAUAUCUUCUCCAUGAAUUCCGUCCCUGGCACCUUGACAACAGGAUUCUGAAGCUCGUACGUAUCUCGGGGCAUCACCUCUUUCCCCUGAGCUCUGAAUAUCUCCGUCAAGAGGAUCGCUUCAGCCUCCUGUUUUGAAGUACCUCUGUCGCAGCUUGGUCAUCUUGGACAUAGGGGCGACACCAUCUGCGGUUGGAAUUUGUAGGUGGAUGAUGCAUAUCAUGGGAAAGAGGAAUCAAGAGAAGUCAUUUGUGUAUCCAGUGAUCGAUCCAUGUACAUAGUACUAUGCACGGACCUACUGCCAAGUAAAGGAGCCUCCUUGGCCUGACCAUGCGAAACAAGCGAUCCAAGUAAGCGAAAAACCAAUUGUACACCUGCGCGAAUGCCAGUGAAAUUAAGGCCAGCUCAAGAGUUCAAGAGAGUCAACAGACACCGGCUAGAUUGCAUGGCGAUCGUCAUGGUUGAGGUGUUUAUUACCAGCCCGUUGUUGAGGCGGAAGCAUUUGUGGAUGAUUUCAUUCAUGUCGAGGUAGAGGUUGUCGUAGAUGAUCUCUUCUUC